UUUGAAUUCUGGCCCCCUCGGGGUCCGAGUUGUAAUUUGUAGAGGGUGCUUUGGCGUUGGCCGUGGUCUAAGUUCCUUGGAACAGGACGUCACAGAGGGUGAGAAUCCCGUACGUGGCCGCCGGUCUUCGCCGUGUAAAGCCCCUUCGACGAGUCGAGUUGUUUGGGAAUGCAGCUCUAAAUGGGAGAUAAAUUUCUUCUAAAGCUAAAUAUUGGCCAGAGACCGAUAGCGCACAAGUAGAGUGAUCGAAAGAUGAAAAGCACUUUGGAAAGAGAGUCAAAAAGCACGUGAAAUUGUUGAAAGGGAAGCGCUUGCAGCCAGACGUGCCCGCAGUUGCUCACCUGGGCUCUCGCCCGGGGCACUCUUCUGCGGGCAGGCCAGCAUCAGUUCGGGCGGUUGGAUAAAGGCCUCUAUCACGUACCACCCUUCGGGGUGUCCUUAUAGGGGAGGCGCAACACGGCCAGCCCGAACUGAGGACCGCGCAUCAGCUAGGAUGCUGGCGUAAUGGCUGUAAGCGGCCCGUCUUGAAACACGGACCAAGGAGUCUAACAUCUAUGCGAGUGUUUGGGUGUAAAGCCCGGGCGCGCAAUGAAAGUGAACGGAGGUGGGAACCCCUUACGGGGUGCACCAUCGACCGAUCCUGAAGUUUACGGAAGGAUUUGAGUAAGAGCAUAGCUGUUGGGACCCGAAAGAUGGUGAACUAUGCCUGAAUAGGGUGAAGCCAGGGGAAACCCUGGUGGAGGCUCGCAGCGGUUCUGACGUGCAAAUCGAUCGUCAAAUUUGGGCAUAGGGGCGAAAGACUAAUCGAACCAUCUAGUAGCUGGUUCCUGCC
rnacentral:rRNA from 1 species